GAAGGAUAAAUGUUAAUGGAAUGUUACACUCGGAAACAACUCCUUUAAGGUAUUAGUAACCAUUUGGGUACUGACUUUUGUCAUCAUACUGUUUCAUUGUUGGUCUCCUCCUUGAUGACAAUGGUUUUUGUCUGUCUCUAAAAAACACUUACGAUGGUCUGGUGCAAGGUUGAAGGAAUCCCUUGCACUGGAUGCACCCAAUAUUUUCCCCACUCAAGUUCUAUGCGGAAAAAGAGUGGCUAGUGUGAACUCCACUUUUGUCUUAUGGGCGGAAAUAACCAGUACAGUGAUCAUCCAUGGGACUUCAGUGAUUACUUCCUUCUGGCUGGAUCUGAGUAAGAUAAUCUCUUCAUUUAACUGUAUCUGUCUGCAGUUAUUCCAACGACGUGAUGUGUGCACUCUUGGAUUUGUCAGUUUAACACCAUGAGUGUUAUUACCCAUUGUCAUGGUAUAAGAGCUGGAUACAUUCUACACCUUUCUGACUGAGAGAGAUUAUGUUUUGUUUUACUGUGCACAAGGCUCCCGCUUUACAUUCACCUCUCCCAGACCCUGCGUAAAGCGGGAGCCUUGUGCACUGGGUACGACCUUACUGAUUUCCAAUGACAAAGUGCAGGGCUGUUCACCCUACAGAUUCUUUUAAUGAUUUCUUUUCUAGUCUUGCUCAUCUCUAAGCUUACAUUUCCUCACCAGGGUCGGGCUUCUCAUAAAAUCAUGGUUAUAAUCUGGGACGGAGUUGCACUAUUGAUGGAGCAAUCUGCUUAGGAAACUUCGUUUGUUUGACCAGUUAUGAAUGAUUGGCCACAUGUCUAGGGAGCAUCGUCAUUUUUUUGUUUUUUAUCAUGGCCUCCACUUGCCCCCUCAAUGUCCUGCACUUGUUAGUUGUCUGAUAGAUAUUAUUAUGAAAGGAACAAUACUUACCUGUAUCUUGGUGCUCUAGUGGCUCCCCUCAUAGUCGGGUUUCUUGGAAAAACUACUAAACUUUUAGUUGUACAAGACUCACGAUCUAGAGGUUCUCAGUAAAGGUCUGUUUCAGCCUCUUUAUUUUUCUUCUGUCUUGUUUGGGCCCGGGGAGGAUUCUGCAACCACUUCCCCGUUGAUCUUACUUAUUCUUUUGGCGGUUCCUCUUUAAGUAUAGCACAACCAUCUGCUCUUGUGAGCACUUUGGCAUGCCUUUAAGAUUAGUACAGGAAAGAAGAAAAAACCACUCUUGAGCAGUGACCCCUGCUAUAAGUUCCUGUUGCACUUUCCAUCGGACUGUUGCAUGGGAGACAGGGUGAUGCAAGGUUCCAACUAACUGGCACUGUCAAUCUCAUUGGCUGUUUCCUAGUAUUUAUAAUGAUUCUUACAGAAGUGGACUCUUUGUUCACUAAUUUUGUGAAGUUCUAUUUUUAAUCAAUUCUGUUUCUUAUAAAGUAAAAGGACAUAUUCACAUUGUUCGUUCUUUGUGAAUAUCAUAACUGAAUCUUUUUACUUGUCUCUAACUCUAGAAACCCUAGGUUAGAUUAAAGUCAGUGUUUAGGGAGUGGUAUUAAUUUAGGUUUUGACAGCAUAUUUUAUUUUUCACUAUGUGGUAGUUAGAGCUUUUGUUAAUUUCUAGAACGUUUGUAGUGAAUAUCUUGUCCACUAUGAUGUACUUCUUGUAAAAAGAAAAUAAAAAUGUCAAAACACUAGAAGCUAUACUUUGAACGCGUGUUUGUAACAUUUCCACUUUUUUUUUUUAUUUAAUGCCCAAAGGAAAUAGUAAUUUUUUUUUUGUUUUCAUUUCAAAAAAGCUCAAACAUAAGCUCUCAUCUGUAUAUUGUUGUUCUUCUAUUAGAUGAAGGAAACACAGAAAACUUUUUGGUGACUAUUUUUAGUAACUGUUUUUCCGUGAAAGAAGCAUAUCUGGAGAUAUCCAUUUUUGUAAACUCUAGUGAAGUCUCCUAGUCUGGAUCAGUGGUGCUCUGACUUCUAUUGCAUUGACAGUGCUUUUGGUUGAAGUAGAAGGCCAUAGUCUUCUACUGAAUUAAUUUCUGUAUCUUCUGGCCUUCCGUUGAUGCCAAGUUUUGAAAUUCUCCGGUGGAAAAUUUGCUCAGGCAUGGAUUGAAGAAGAGCCAAGGAAGAUGUGUUCAACGAUUAGUUCCUUUGUUUCUUCCCUUCACAUAUAAUCUUCUACUAUAUUCUAUGGAUAACCAUCUAUACUACUUGUAUAGGUGGGGAAUAUCAACUAAUAACCAUCUGAUCAGUCCACCUGCAAAUUGAAAUUAUGAUGCUGUACUGUAAAAGAUAUUCAUUUGGAUAGUUAAUCGUAUAACCAACCCUGUCAAGGACUUCUAGGACUAGUGAGGCUCUUAACUUUUUCACUGGGAUGAGGGUUAGUGUUGCUUUCGGUUAAUUUAUUUAAAGGAAUUCUGAUUGUUAUUGGUAUGUUGAAUAUUUUCCUACACUAGAGUGUAAUGAUUCUGUGUUUUCUUCAAAAAGUCAAUGUUCGAUUCCUUAUCCACGAUUUGCACAUUUCUUUUGAGUUAAUAAAUCGAAAACAAUUGAAAAAAAAGGAAAUUCUCUUCUAGCUUUUAUUCCCCCUAUUUUCUUGGCAGGGUGGUUUAUAAAUUUCAUCUACUUUCUCUAUGUUUCAUUAAAUAAUUCACUGCUUGGUCUGAACUUUUGGUUAAUGAUUCAUUUGUGCUUAAAUUAUUUAUUUUUGUUGAAGUGGAUGUAUUUUAGUUUAUAUGUGAUAGCUAGUGGUGCUUUGCAAACCCAGGAAGAAACGUAGGACCGGAUUGAAUUGUCCAAUCCUUUAUUUGUGGCAUGUAGUCCAAUGGACAAAUUAGUCCCACAGUACAGGGAUUUGAUGAAUUUUUUUUUUCCAUAUCUGGUCCCACCCAAACUAGUGUUUCUAAUCACAUUCAUUACCUAAUUAAUAUUUCACAAAUGUUUGUUUUUUGCAAUUUUACAUAGGGGCAACACCUAAAGGUGUUCUGAGAGUGAUGGGUGUUCCAGGACUAACUAUUUAUCAUGUGAAGAGCCAUUUACAGGUGCGGGUCACCUUGCUAUACUAUAUUACAUAUUCAGGGACAUUUAAUGUUCUUAUUUUUAACUACGCAAUUAUUCUUUUGUAUAGAAAUACCGACUUGCAAAGUACCUGCCAGAGUCUCCAGCUGAUGGUAAAGGCGUCUAUCUCCUAUAUAUGUUAUUUUAGCAAUAGAAAACUUGUUUUUACCUUAUAAAAAUAUGAGUUAAUUUGAAUUUGGAGUACUGUUUCUGACUGAUAGGUUCUAAGGAUGAGAAGAAGGGUUCUGGAGACAGCCUAUCUUGCUCAGAUUCUUCUCCGUGGGUACCUUUUCCUUUACCUUUUAUUGGUUAAACCUCUGUACGAGGACCACAUUUUGUCUCUUAAGCUUUCAUGACCAAUAUCAUUAUCCCUCUUCACUUGCAUAAUCAUUUGUCUCAUGCAUAUGCAUCUAACGUUCCAAAAAAAAACAUUCAAUUGUUCAGUGGAGUGCAAAUUAAUGAGGCAUUAAGGAUGCAAAUGGAAGUUCAGAAGCGUCUUCAUGAACAGCUUGAGGUAAGGUCUCUUUCUCUCACUUCACCUUAAAUUGCUGGAAGAGAGAUGUAGUCUGCCCUGCGAUAUCUUUAUUGGAAGGAAAGCUCAUAGAAAGAAAAUUGUUUCUGACAGACGCAGAAAAAGAAUUACUCAAGCGCUAAAAGGAAAGUUUUCAAGUUUAUGCUGAAAAUUAUUUUGCAAAAAUUGAAAAUAGUUAAUCCAGCAAUUACAUAGCCUAGAGGUCAAGGUUUUUGUAUGCCAUUUUUCUUCUCCGGGGCCUGAGUUUGGCUCUGGCUUUGGGAAUAUGGAUUGGGUAAUAAUUGUUUUUCAAUAAAAAUAAUGUUGUAGAGAUGGGAAAAUCGGUGGGUGGAUGUUCUGCAAAUGCCCAUCUUUUUUCUGUGUUCUUCAAUUUUUGUUCUUAGAUCCGACCAUAGUGUUGCUCGUUCAUUUCUGCAGUAGAGCAUGAUUCAGGAACUGUUUCCUGAUCUCCUAUCCUCUCAGAAUCAAGUGCAGGCACUUAAUAUGAUGAAAACUUGUAAUGAGCUGUUCAUGUAUGCGAUUUAGGGGGAUGGUUAUUGUCAUUUUGUUCUGGUCAG
rnacentral:lncRNA from 1 species